CAACCUGAGACUACAUAUCCCAGAAUGCCGACGCAACCCGGUAGUCAAAGGAUACGGAACUACAAGUCCCAGCAUGCUGUGCGCCUUCCAGAUAGGUCCUCUGUGUUAAGACUUGAGGCCUGUGAGAAAGUGUAGUAAGUGCGUUAGCUCCCUCGAGAAAAAUCGCGGCUCUUUCUAGUUUUCCGUAGAGGCAUCAAAUCCAGAUGGAAGUAGAAAGACUGGAAACCCUAGGAUCUUUUGUAGCCCGUUCCUACCCAUAGUCUUGUCGAGAAGGAAACGGGCCUUUACAAUCUAACGCCUAACUUUAACGAGGAGAUUAAACCCAUUAUUCGGUGGAAGAACCAUAACUAAUUGCCAAUGGUCAUCGCCAUUUGGAACCUUGUCCCGUAUCUUUUUUGGGUAGAAACAGGUGGUUUUAAGCAGAAUUCAAUCUCGUGAAGUUUUCUCUGAAAACUUGCAGUAGUCUUUGAAUUCCUUCAUAAUUUAUAUUCUUGCUAACAGCUAUAUUAAGGUUAGUAAAUUGACAAAUAAUGACUUUUAAACAUCACAAAACAAAAACUCAAUAAAGUUGGGAGGCUUUCAGUCUGCCAGACUCCGAAGAUAGAAUACCUGUCAAUUUUAGUUGCAUACGUGCACAUUGUUUUUAGACAUUUUGUAAUUAUGGGAUGGGAUUUUUAAAUGUAAGAUAAUGUAAGUGGGGAAAAAAAUAGGUUUUGUGUUUCCACCCAAAAUGUUCCCUACAAUUACCAAUUGUUUACAAAACAAAUAGUACAACUAUCUCAGCACCACAGUUCAUAUAAAGAAAAUUCUUCCAGCCCACUGCAAUUUACUAUUGAGUCUAGGUUCACCCAUCAAUGUAAUGAUUCUUGUGUAUUCGUUUUAUUUCAUUUUUGAGGCAAUGUCUCAUGUAUUCCAAGCUGGCCUCAACUCUCUUUAACCUCGGAUCCUUCUGCCUCUGGAAUGCUGACAUGUGCAUUGCUGGAAAUCAAACCCAAGCUUUCUUGCCUGCUAGGCAAACAUUCUAUCAGCUGAGCUACAUAUCCAGCCUAGUAGUGGAUAUUGAACCGAGAUCGUUUCCACAUGCUAGGCAAGCACUCUAACACUGAUGUAUCUUCACUCCUCUUUCUUAUUUUUCAUUUGGAUCUGGAUCUCUCUAAGUUGACUAUACGGACUUGAACUUGGCCUUUGUAACUUUGUUGUUGUUGGUUUGUUUUUGGGUUUUUUUUGUUUUUUUUUUUUUUAAGAGGAUAUGAAGUUGGGAGUGGUAAGAGGGUAGAGUAGAUAUUGGAGGCACUAAGGCCAGGAGUGGAGGUGUGUGUCAAUGUGAUCAUACACAUUGCAUGAAACUCAAAGAAUUAAUAAAAAUACUAUAUAUCUUAAAACCAUUCCUCAAACUAAAAUACCAGCAUCACCAAUCUUCAUAAUGAAUGAGGAAAACAAAACAACAACAGCUCCUCUUUACCCUGAGAAGCUGUAAAAUUAUUCUGACUUCCAAAAAUUUAGCUUGUAUAUGUAAAGAAAUAAAUCAGCUUGGUAUUGGUAAUAUCUGAUUAUGCCAAAUAAUUAUAUAGGCAGAAAGUGCUUUAGUAAUUUAGGAGUGUUGGUCUAUAUUAUCUCAAAAAUAAUAGUAUUUCUAGAUUUUUAUGUAAAAUUAAAUUUUGGAGCCAUCUGUAAAUUCGUGAGUGGGAAACAAAGGCAGAGGAUACUGAGCCACACCUGAGAACUGAAUUUCAACAGUCCACGUUUAGGAGAAAGACUGAACACAUUUGUUGAAAUAUUCAGGGGUAUAAAUGGCAGGCUGUUGUGGAAAGGAAUGGAUUAUGCCAGGAAUACAUAGCAUAUUCAGAAUAAGCAAUGGCCAACACAGAAGACAGACUGGAUGAAGCGGAGAAUCAUGUGGAGUGCCACACAGCAGAGGUCGAAGAAGAAAGGCUCCCACACUGCAUCUCUCUUGCCAUGAUGAAGUCUAAAGUCACAGAAAUGAUAACACAUGAAUAAACACAGAUUAAACAGUUUUCCGGAUGCAUGAUGGCAUAGUGAUGAGACAGUCCUGCAUACAGUGAUACCGCCACCAGUCAGACAGACAGCUCUGAUUUCUAGAUUUACACUGACACCCAGGUUACCCAGGCUGAUUGGAUGGAGUUCUCUCUCCUAGAGAUUUGAAGUUUAUGUGGAAAAAUACACAGGUGAAAUUUCCAUUGAAGCUCAAACAUUUUCAAGAUAUUUUACACAGGAAAGCUGAAAUUCUGUUUCAUGUGUUAAAUGUAAAAAAAUAAAAUAAAAUAAAAUGUGUGUUUCGGGGGCUGGAGAGAUGGCUCAGAGGUUAGGAGCACUGACUGUUCUUCCAAAGGUCCUGAGUUCAAUUCCCAGCAACCACAUGGUGGCUCACAACCAUCUGUAAUGAGAUCUGGUGCAGGUGUACAUGCAGACAGAAGAAUGUAUACAUAAU